AGACAGAGAAUAGAACAAAUCCAAUAGGCAGGCAAGGUCAAAGAGGCAGGCAGAGAACAAUCAGACGGAUAUAAACAAUCCAGGUAGGCAACAGGUAAUCAAACAAGGUAUAAACGCUCAGAAAUGUCAGCAGUAGCAAAAA